rnacentral:rRNA from 1 species
AUUGAACGCUGGCGGCAUGCUUUACACAUGCAAGUCGAACGGCAGCACGGACUUCGGUCUGGUGGCGAGUGGCGAACGGGUGAGUAAUGUAUCGGAACGUGCCCAGUCGUGGGGGAUAACGUAGUGAAAAUUACGCUAAUACCGCAUACGAUCUAUGGAUGAAAGCGGGGGAUCGCAAGACCUCGCGCGAUUGGAGCGGCCGAUAUCAGAUUAGGUAGUUGGUGGGGUAAAGGCCCACCAAGCAACGAUCUGUAGCUGGUCUGAGAGGACGACCAGCCACACUGGAACUGAGACACGGUCCAGACUCCUACGGGAGGCAGCAGUGGGGAAUUUUGGACAAAGGGCGAAAGCCUGAUCCAGCCAUUCCGCGUGCAGGAUGAAGGCCCUCGGGUUGUAAACUGCUUUUGUACAGAACGAAAAGGUUUCUACUAAUACUAGGAGCUCAUGACGGUACUGUAAGAAUAAGCACCGGCUAACUACGUGCCAGCAGCCGCAGUAA